rnacentral:rRNA from 1 species
UACGUAGGGGGCAAGCGUUGUCCGGAUUUAUUGGGCGUAAAGAGCGUGUAGGCGGCUAGAUAGGUCCGUUGUGAAAACUCGAGGCUCAACCUCGAGACGUCGAUGGAAACCAUCUGGCUAGAGUCCGGAAGGAGGAGAGUGGAAUUCCUGGUGUAGCGGUGAAAUGGCGCAGAUAUCAGGAAGAACACCCGUGGCGAAGGCGGCUCUCUGGUACGUGACUGACGCUGAGACGCGAAAGCGUGGGGAGCAAACAGG